UCCGUAGGUGAACCUGCGGAAGGAUCAUUACCGAGUUGACUCGAGCUCCGGCUCGACUCUCCCACCCUAUGUGUACCUACCUCUGUUGCUUUGGCGGGCCGCGGUCCUCCGCACCGGCUCCCUUUGGGGGCUGGCCAGCGUCCGCCAGAGGACCACAAAACUCCAGUCAGUAAACGUUGCAGUCUGAAAAACAAGUUAAUAAACUAAAACUUUCAACAACGGAUCUCUUGGUUCUGGCAUCGAUGAAGAACGCAGCGAAAUGCGAUAAGUAAUGUGAAUUGCAGAAUUCAGUGAAUCAUCGAAUCUUUGAACGCACAUUGCGCCCCUUGGUAUUCCGAGGGGCAUGCCUGUUCGAGCGUCAUUUCAACCCUCAAGCUUUGCUUGGUAUUGGGCCCCGUCCUCUGUGGACGCGCCUCAAAGACCUCGGCGGUGGCGUCUUGCCUCAAGCGUAGUAGAAAUCACCUCGCUUUGGAGCGCAUGGCGUCGCCCGCCGGACGAACCUUUGAAUUUUUCUCAAGGUUGACCUCGGAUCAGGUAGGGAUACCCGCUGAACUUAAGCAUAUCAAUAAGCGGAGGAAGGAUCAUUACCGAGUUGACUCGAGCUCCGGCUCGACUCUCCCACCCUA
rnacentral:rRNA from 1 species